rnacentral:rRNA from 1 species
UUUCUCCGCCGGCGACCGGCGCACGGGUGAGUAACACGUAUGCAACCUGCCCCUGUCAGGGGGACAACCCGCCGAGAGGCGGGCUAAACCCGCGUACAUGCCACCGGGGCAUCCCGGAGGCAGGAAAGGCUUCGGCCGGACAGGGAUGGGCAUGCGGCGCAUUAGGCAGUAGGCGGGGUAACGGCCCACCUAACCGACGAUGCGUAGGGGUUCUGAGAGGAAGGUCCCCCACACUGGUACUGAGACACGGACCAGACUCCUACGGGAGGCAGCAG